GAAGGAAGUAAGGGCAUAUAGUGGAUGCCUUGGCACUAAGUGCCGAUGAAGGACG
rnacentral:rRNA from 1 species